CUACGUGCCAGCAGCCGCGGUAAUACGUAGGGCGCGAGCGUUGUCCGGAAUUAUUGGGCGUAAAGAGCUUGUAGGCGGUUUGUCGCGUCUGCUGUGAAAGGCCGGGGCUUAACUCCGUGUAUUGCAGUGGGUACGGGCAGACUAGAGUGCAGUAGGGGAGACUGGAAUUCCUGGUGUAGCGGUGGAAUGCGCAGAUAUCAGGAGGAACACCGAUGGCGAAGGCAGGUCUCUGGGCUGUAACUGACGCUGAGAAGCGAAAGCAUGGGGAGCGAACAGGAUUAGAUACCCUGGUAGUCCAUGCCGUAAACGUUGGGCACUAGGUGUGGGGGACAUUCCACGUUUUCCGCGCCGUAGCUAACGCUUUAAGUGCCCCGCCUGGGGAGUACGGCCGCAAGGCUAAAACUCAAAGGAAUUGACGGGGGCCCGCACAAGCGGCGGAGCAUGCGGAUUAAUUCGAUGCAACGCGAAGAACCUUACCAAGGCUUGACAUGC
rnacentral:rRNA from 1 species